rnacentral:rRNA from 1 species
GAUGAACGCUGGCGACGUGCCUAAUACAUGCAAGUCGUACGGAAAGGCCCUUCGGGGUACUCGAGUGGCGGACGGCUGAGUAACGCGUGGGAACGUGCCCCAAAGUGAGGGAUAACGCACCGAAAGGUGUGCUAAUACCGCAUAUGGUCUUCGGAUUAAAGCUUCGGCGCCUUGGGAGCGGCCCGCGUAGGAUUAGAUAGUUGGUGAGGUAAUGGCUCACCAAGUCGACGAUCGUUAGCUGGUCUGAGAGGAUGAUCAGCCAGACUGGGACUGAGACACGGUCCAGACUCCUACGGGAGGCAGCAGUGGGGAAUUUUGGACAAUGGACGCAAGUCUGAUCCGGCCAUUCCGCGUGCAGGAUGAAGGCCCUCGGGUUGUAAACUGCUUUUGUACGGAACGAAAAGGUUUCCAUUAAUACUGGGAGCUCAUGACGGUACCGUAAGAAUAAGCACCGGC